UACGGGGGGGGCAAGCGUUGUUCGGAAUUACUGGGCGUAAAGGGCGCGUAGGCGGUUCGCUAAGUUGGAUGUGAAAACUCUGGGCUCAACCCAGAGCCUGCAUCCAAAACUGGCGGGCUAGAGUUCUGGAGGGGGUAGCGGAAUUCCUGGUGUAGCGGUGAAAUGCGUAGAUAUCAGGAGGAACACCGGUGGCGAAGGCGGCUACCUGGACAGAAACUGACGCUGAGGCGCGAAAGCGUGGGGAGCAAACGGG
rnacentral:rRNA from 1 species